GAAGUAUUCGUAUGGAGGCGACGUGGGCGGUUCGCCGCCGACGACGUCGCGAGAAGUCCACUGAACCUUAUCAUUUAGAGGAAGGAGAAGUCG
rnacentral:rRNA from 1 species